rnacentral:rRNA from 1 species
AUUGAACGCUGGCGGCAUGCCUUACACAUGCAAGUCGAACGGCAGCACGGGUGCUUGCCCCUGGUUGCGAGUGGCGCACGGGUGAGUAAUACAUCGGAACAUCUGCUGGUGGGGGGUAUAGCCCGGCGAAAGCCGGUUUAAUAGCGCAUACGAUCUGCGGAUGAAAGGGGGGGAUCGUCGGUCCUCCCACCAGAUGGUUGUCCGACGGCUGAUUAGCUAGUUGGUGGGGUAAAGGCCUACCAAGGCGACGAUCAGUAGCUGGUCUGAGAGGACGAGCAGCCACACUGGGACUGAGACACGGCCCAGACUCCUACGGGAGGCAGCAGUGGGGAAUUUUGGACAAUGGGCGAAAGCCUGAUCCAGCCAUGCCGCGUGUGUGAAGAAGGCCUUCGGGUUGUAAAGCACUUUUGUUCGGAAAGAAAUCCUUGGCCCUAAUACGGUCGUGGGAUGACGGUACCGGAAGAAUAAGCACCGGCUAACUACGUG